AUUGAACGCUGGCGGCAUGCUUUACACAUGCAAGUCGAACGGUAACAGGGUGCUUGCACCGCUGACGAGUGGCGAACGGGUGAGUAAUACAUCGGAAUGUACCCAGUAAUGGGGGAUAACGCUUCGAAAGGAGUGCUAAUACCGCAUACGCCCUGAGGGGGAAAGUGGGGGACCGCAAGGCCUCACGUUAUUGGAGCAGCCGAUGGCUGAUUAGCUAGUUGGUGAGGUAAAGGCUCACCAAGGCGACGAUCAGUAGCGGGUCUUAGAGGACGGUCCGCCACACUGGAACGGGGACACGGUCCAGACUCCUACGGGAGGCAGCAGUGGGGAAUCUUGGACAAUGGGCGAAAGCCUGAUCCAGCAAUGCCGCGUGCGUGAAGAAGGCCUUCGGGUUGUAAAGCGCUUUUGUCUGGGAGCAAAUCCUGGCCUCUAAUACAGGUCGGGGAUGAGAGUGCCAGAAGAAUAAGGACCGGCUAACUACGUGCCAGCCGCCGCAGUAA
rnacentral:rRNA from 1 species